GUCUCUGUGGCGCAAUGUACAGCCCAUUGGACAAUUGGACUUCUAGAUGAGUAAAGAAGGCAUUCAAAGGUUGUGGGUUUGAGUCCCACCAGAGUCA